rnacentral:rRNA from 1 species
AUUGAACGCUGGCGGCAGGCCUCACACAUGCAAGUCGAACGAGUUGCGGACGGGUGAGUAAUGUCUGGUAAACUGCCUGAUGGAGGGGGAUAACUACUGGAAACGGUAGCUAAUACCGCAUACCAUACGAUGUACCCAGAUGGGAUUUGCUAGUUGGUGGGGUAACGGCUCACCAAGGCGACGAUCCCUAGCUGGUCUGAGAGGAUGACCAGCCACACUGGAACGGAGACACGGUCCAGACUCCUACGGGAGGCAGCAGUGGGGAAUAUGGCACAAUGGGCGCAAGCCUGAUGCAGCCAUGCCGCGUGUAUGAAGAAGGCCUUCGGGUUGUAAAGUACUUUCAGCGGGGAGGCGUUACCCGCAGAAGAAGCACCGGCUAACUCCGUGCCAGCAGCCGCGGUAAUUC